AGAGGGCCGACCCGUCAGGCGUUGAUCACCGGGCCAACGGGAGACAAUGUGGCGUGAUGCUGACGCAGCCCACUGACAAGCCAGCGCGAGGCCCAGGGGAGCAGCUCUGAGCCGAGCAGCCAGAGCCAGGCAGUGAACAGAUGCUAUUUGAUGCUGAUAUUAGUUCAGAUGCCUGAGGAAACAUCAGAUGGCUAUAUCAGGAUCCCCAGAAGGCUAG
rnacentral:lncRNA from 1 species